UACGGGGGGGGCAAGCGUUGUUCGGAAUUACUGGGCGUAAAGGGCUCGUAGGCGGCCAACUAAGUCAGACGUGAAAUCCCCAAGCUUAACUUGGGAACUGCGUCUGAUACUGAGUGGCUUGAAUUCGGGAGAGGGAUGCAGAAUUCCAGGUGUAGCGGUGAAAUGCGUAGAUGUCUGGAGGAAUACCGGUGGCGAAGGCGGCAUCCUGGACCGAGAUUGACACUGAGGAGCGAAAGCCAGGGGAGCAAACGGG
rnacentral:rRNA from 1 species